AACGAACGCUGGCGGCAGGCUUAACACAUGCAAGUCGAGCGCCCCGCAAGGGGAGCGGCAGACGGGUGAGUAACGCGUGGGAAUCUACCCAUCUCUACGGAAUAACGCAUGGAAACGUGUGCUAAUACCGUAUACGUCCUUCGGGAGAAAGAUUUAUCGGAGGAUGGAUGAGCCCGCGUUGGAUUAGCUAGUUGGUGGGGUAAAGGCCUACCAAGGCGACGAUCCAUAGCUGGUGUGAGAGGAUGAUCAGCCACACUGGGACUGAGACACGGCCCAGACUCCUACGGGGGGCAGCAGGGGGGAAUAUUGGACAGUCGGCGCAAGCCUGGUCAAGCCAUGCCGCGUGAGUGAUGAAGGCCCUAGGGUUGUAAAGCUCUUUCACCGGUGAAGAUAAUGACGGUAACCGGAGAAGAAGCCCCGGCUAACUUCGUGCCAGCCGCCGCCGUAACAC
rnacentral:rRNA from 1 species